GUAUUUCAGACGGGCCUUGGUUCCGGGCGCUUCGUCCGGAGAAUAGGGAACGCGGUGCAAAUCCGCGACUGCCCCCGCAACUGUGAGCGGCGAGCGCAUUCGGCACGACGCCACUGGGCAGACGCCCGGGAAGGCCCGAUCCGCGCUUUGACCCGCAAGUCAGGAGACCUGCCAGGGUGAUCACCCUCUC
rfam:Citreicella sp. SE45 genomic scaffold scf_1113211290437, whole genome shotgun sequence.